GCCGGCCUCCAGGUCCUCCCCACUGCUGCAGCUCCCCGCUCCUCUCCACUUCUGGCCUCCGCAAGUUUCCUUUCCUUUAUUGUGAGCUGGGCCAAGUGUUGAAAAAUCAUGCGUUUGUUUUUCCCAGAAUCUUCUCUUGUUUGUAUGGCGACAGCGCGGAGCCGUGACCGUCCAGAAGAACCAUCCAGAAGAACCAUCCAGGCUGGGAGCCGAGGCCGAAACAGCUAUCAAAUGACAUCUUUGGAGGGUGAGACUGAGAACGCAGCGGAAGCUCCUUCCAUGGGGAUGGCACGGGGGCCUUUAAAAAUGCAAAUGUAUUGUUUUUAAAUAGAAAUUCUUCAUUAAUUUCCACUCCCCCUUGGAAUAAGGCGAAAUACAAUGCAAUAGGCCAAGCCCUCCCUGACAUUCCAAAUUCACACUUCUCAAUCCCCUGGUGACAAGCAGGGGCCAUAGCCACCAUGUGAAACUCCUGGCUUUCUCCCACACAUGUGAAACAACUUCACUUUGUUUUAUUAUUUUGUUUAUUUAUUAUUUAUUUUUAAAUGAGGUGGGUGGUUUAAAAAUCAAACUGUACAUGUCUCAUAAUGAAUAUCAACUGUUCCAAAAUUCACUCUCAAUCCCCCCAAAAAAGUCUCUCUGUGCUUUCACUUUUUCCUAAAUUUACUCCCAUAAUUUAAAAUAAAAUGCUUAUACUUC